UACAUGUGGGGCAAGCGUUGUUCGGAAUUACUGGGCAUAAAGGGUGCGUAGGCGGCUUGUUAAGUCACUGGUGAAAGUUUUCGGCCCAACCGGAAAAUUGCCUGUGAUACUGGCGAGCUUGAGUGCGUGAGGGGUGGGGGGAACGAGCAGUGUAGCGGUGAAAUGCGUAGAUAUACGGAGGAACACCUGCGGCGAAGGCGGGUAGCUGGGCCAACACUGACGCUGAUGCGCGAAAGCUAGGGGAGCAAACGGG
rnacentral:rRNA from 1 species